rnacentral:rRNA from 1 species
GAUGAACGCUAGCGGGAGGCUUAACACAUGCAAGUCGAGGGGCAGCAUAGGGUAGCAAUACUCUGAUGGCGACCGGCAAACGGGUGAGUAACGCGUAUGCAACCUACCCUGUACAGGGGGAUAACCCGGAGAAAUUCGGACUAAUAUCCCGUAAUAAUAUCCGGAGGCAUCUUUGGAUAUUUAAAGUUCCGACGGUACGGGAUGGGCAUGCGUAACAUUAGCUGGUUGGUAAGGUAACGGCUUACCAAGGCUAUGAUGUUUAGGGGUCCUGAGAGGGUGGUCCCCCACACUGGUACUGAGACACGGACCAGACUCCUACGGGAGGCAGCAGUGAGGAAUAUUGGGUCAAUGGGCGCAAGCCUGAACCAGCCAUCCCGCGUGCAGGAAGACGGCCCUAUGGGUUGUAAACUGCUUUUCCGAGGGAGAGAAACUUACGCACGUGUUGCGUGACUGACGGUACCCUGGGAAUAAGCAUCGGCUAACUCCGUG